GACGAGGUGGCCGAGUGGUUAAGGUGAUAAACUACUAAUCCAUUGUGCUCUGCACGCCUGGGUUCAAAUCCCAUCCUUAUCG
rnacentral:tRNA from 1 species